rnacentral:lncRNA from 1 species
GUGGCCCAGGCCCACGGCGGGGUGGAGGUCGCUGGCUCCCGGGAGCCGGGGCUACGCUUGCAGCUUGCGGGGUGGGAACGGAGGCUUGCCCCGAAGGGCCCGGGGCCGCGCCGGGCGGGUCCCGCAGGAAGUGGCUCCGAGCCGGGCCGGCCGCCCUCGUCGCCCGGAAGCCUGAGUGUGUCCCCGUCGCGGCCCCUGGGGCCUGGCGGCGGGGCGGGGGCGCUAGGGCCGCUUUGCCCCUCCACCCGGCGGGGGCAGGGGCUUCCCCGCGACCUUCCCCAGGACGAUGUGGGGGAGCCGAGGCGCGGGCCCGGGGUCAGCCCGCAGCUCGGACCCCGGCCCCAGGGCCCCGCGGCUCAGGGACGCACCGAGGGCCUGGCCGGGCGGAGCCUCCGUCCUGCGCGCCCCCGCCACCCGCGCGCGCCGCCACCUGUCACCGGGUCCCCGCGCGCGCCCCCGUCCCCGUCCGCCCUCCGCGCGCGCCGCCACCUGUCACCAGGUUCCCUCUCCCCCGCGCCCCGCCCACCCGCCCCCUGGGCGCGCCCGGGCCUCCGCACGCGCCUCUCCCGCAGCCGAGUCCCCGCCCAGUGCGCCCGCCCGCGACUCGCUUGUCUCUGCCCCCGGAGGGCGGGGCACCACGACGUGUGGGUCCCCUCGGGCAGUGGAGAGGACGGGAGCCGGUUGUGGCCGCGGGCACAGCCUCAGCGCAGCCCCUUCCUUGAGACACGGCGGGGGCGCAGCGAGCGGGGCGCGGGGGGAGCGGACACGCGAGGCUCUGGGUGCUCAGUAGCAGAUCAGACGGCGGGGGGGGGGGGAGGCGGGGGGUCGGGGGUCGCCUCCUGCCGCUUGCGCACGGAGCUGGAGCUUUCUAGGAACUGGGUGUGGGGGGGAUUCCGAAGGGCGGCCUGUGCCCGUGCAAGGCCCCGUGGGCUUGUUGCGUCCACCCUGGAGCAUGGGCCUGGGGUCAGGGUCGGGGUCAGGGCAGGCUCUAGCUGCAGAAACAGAGCAGAGGCUGCCAUCGGGGGCUUGGAGAGGCCGCAAGGCUGCUGGGGCCUCCGCUUCCUGCCUGGGUGCUGGAGGCAGUUCACCGGCUGCUGUGGGAGCCAGCCUGGGCAUUGGGCCCACAGGGCUCCCUCCAGGAGGGGCUGGCACGGUGGCUCAGGCACAUCCCGGAGACCGAGGCUCAGUGGGGCCAGGGUGCAGUCAGGACUUCCUACAGCUCCGUGGGCUCCGAGCCCAGGAUGCACCAUCACCCAAGGGUCUCGCGGGCCUGGGGGUGGGGGGGCGGGGGGUGAAGAGCGGGGCUGGGACGGGGGAAAGCCAGUACUGAAGAUGGCCCACUGGCCGGCCCCUGAGCCUGGGUAG